AUCUUUCUUAUAUUUUUUUCUUUGGAGAUUUAUUUUAUGAGGAUGUUUUUCUCUCCACUUCUGUCUGUUGACUUUUUAUUAGCAUUUCUACUCAUAGACAAAAGCAUUGAGUGGACAGUUUUUGUUGAAUAUUAUUGUUCAUCUCAUAGAGAGAAAUCAAUGCCUUUAGCCACCAUUUAAACUUUGAGCUAUCAUUGUUGCAAGACUUUUUUUAAUACUGGUUGUGGUUGAAUGCCAAAAUUUCUCCACUUACUUUUUGCAAUCGCAACUCUAGUCUUGAAUAGUUAGUUUUAUUUUUAUGUUCUAUGAUAUAAUGGAAACUUAGAGCAUCAUAUAACAUGUCAAAGGUAUGCUUGACAAUUUUUUUUAGAAGGAACUCUGAAAAUUAGCGUUAUUCAUCUCUAGAUGUAGGAUUUGCAUGCUUAUAUUAGUGCGUAUUUUAAUGAUUUGUGGCUUUGAAAGUUUUGCUUUCUUUAUGAAUUUAAUUUUCUUGUAAUUUUCUGUCUUUUGUCCACAUUUUAUUUCCACUUGUGUAUGAAGGUUCACAUAUUUACUGGAAGAAGUCCCUAAAUAAAUUAGAGUACUAUCAAGGCACCCGUCCAACCUAUUCUCGGGGGAAAAUUGAUGAACUUAGGGAGUUGUGGAUUACAUAUGUCGGAGAUUAACACGAAGCACAAAUGAUGAACGAGUUCUAACUUUCUGCCUAAUUUUUUUUUACCUUACUCCACUUUUGGACAUACAUUAUAUUUUUGGAUUUGGAUAUUGAUAUCAUGUGGAUGUGGCUAUAGGCUAUAUUUUAUCUUGUUUAUGAUUUAGAUUUAUAUUGAUAUGUAUAUAUAGUAGUUUUUUUUAGAAGUUUAGAAUUAUGAAUAUUAGUUGAAUUAUUUUGUGAUAUAAAGAAUUUUGGAAGUUUGGAA